UGUUGGAUGCAGAAGAGAAGAGUUAUGUUUUGACAAUCAUUUCAAAAUUGUUUAAUAUUUUGAGUUGAAACUUUUAGAAAAGGCUAAUUUCGGCAUAUUUGAUUUGCAUACUUACACAAAUGUUUUCAGAAACCCUGUGCAAAUGAAAUAUGUGUGCUGGAUAAAGUUUGGGUUUAAUAUGGAUUUUGUUGUUUGACCACUAUCCAUCACAAGCCACUAAAUGAAAUAAUUUUAAAGGUGCUAGGCGGUAGCCUGUUCCAGAGAGUGGGUGCAGUGAUAGAGAAAGAGUAGGAUCCAUAGAAGUCAUACUCUGGUACAUUUAGCCUAACCCCUCCUCCUUCGAUCGUAGCCUGGCAAGUGUACCUCUGUGGAAACCAAGUGGUAAUUAAUUCUGAAAGAUAGAGAGGUGCUUAUUUGUGAAGACAUUUAUAAGGUCUGAGUUUUAAAUCUUGGUACCAUGGAAAAUUGGUGUUGUGGGAUACUUAAUAGCUUUAAAGUAUCAAGUUUUUGUCAGUAAAUGGUCACGAUUUUAAAGAUAUCUGACAACAAAUCAAUAGUUUAAAAUGAAAACAGAUAAAUUUCACUGACAUCCAGUUUAGGUUGGAAAAUUGGAUGAAGCUAGCAUUGGUUGUGAUUUCAAGAUCUUUGUCAUUUAAUUCAGGAUAUGCAACCUGUAAGUAAUCAAGGAGCAAAUCAGUCAUCUGAAACCAAAAUGCCCAGAGAAAACCAUGAGGUUAAGCAGGUGACACUACUUGUGGUCAAACCAGAAAUCAAAUCCAUGACUUGAAUAGAUAACAAGCACACAUACACAAGACUAUUCCUCCUCUUAGUCCCAUAGAAAAUAAAGAGGAAAAAAGAACAUUGUAGGUAUGAUUUGGUUUGCUUCAGAAAAGAAGGGUAUAUCAUUCCGGAGGUAACAUGAUGUUUCUGUACUUUAUUUUGAUCUGAAUAUCAUAUUAAUUGAAAUGGAAUAUUACUGAAAUCAUUUUGCCUGGCUUAUUGAAACUUUCUUCAGAAUUUUCUUCAGAGUGGUGAUAAAUUAUGGAAGAAUCCUAUUAAAAUUCAAAAGUGAGGAAACAUUGUUAUUUAUUAUUUGCAUUAUCAGCAUUUUUCACCAGUCAGGUUGUAUGAAGUAUGAUAUAAAAUUGUGUAAUUAGUUAGCCUGUGAUUAAGAAUCUGUACGAUGUGUUUGGUAACUUUGAUAGAUGAUUGUUAUUGAUUAACAAUUUUCUAUUUUAGUCAUUGACUCAAUGUGUUGCUCUAGUUUUAUCCUAAAGAGUUUAGGUCACUUCUGUCCAUCAUCAGUCUGUGCCUAGUACAUGAUUAUAUGCACAUAUAUCAAUAUGGUAGUAUAUUGUUAUUGCUUUCUUUCCAUGAUCAGUUCCCAAUUACUUUUACUAAUUCUACAGAGCUAAUUUCUUCACCAAAUUUUUUAGGAGUAAUUAGUUAUGUGGUAAAGAUAAGUCAUGUCAAUUUUGAACAUGAAUUUAUAUAAGCCCCGGCUUGUUUUCAGAUCCCACAAUUAUAUA